rnacentral:sRNA from 12 species
AGCACGCGUCCUUAAAAGAAACCGGCGUACAUCCUCCAAAAGGUGCGCCGGGAGGUUGAAAAGCGGAUGCAAUUUCCGGCGUGUGCA